GAUGAACGCUAGCGGCAGGCCUAACACUUGCAAGUCGAGGGAGAAGCCCUUCGGGGCAGAAACCGGCGCACGGGUGCGUAACGCGUAUGCAACCUACCUUUCACAGGGGGAUAGCCCGAAGAAAUUUGGAUUAAUACCCCAUAAUAUUGUUGGAUGGCAUCAUCUGGCAAUUAAAACUGAGGUGGUGAGAGAUGGGCAUGCGUCCUAUUAGCUAGUUGGAGUGGUAACGGCACCCCAAGGCUACGAUAGGUAGGGGUCCUGAGAGGGAGAUCCCCCACACUGGUACUGAGACAGGGACCAGACUCCUACGGGAGGCAGCAGUGAGGAAUAUUGGUCAAUGGUCGGAAGACUGAACCAGCCAUGCCGCGUGCAGGAAGAAUGCCUUAUGGGUUGUAGACUGCUUUUAUAUGGGAAGAAUAAGGUGUACGUGUACAUGAUGACGGUACCAUAGAUAG
rnacentral:rRNA from 1 species